rnacentral:rRNA from 1 species
AUGAAUCGUCGUGAAUUUUCUCCUUUUACUGAAGGGAGGGGUGGGGUCUGGAAGCGUCAUGAUCCGGAGGAUUCACCGCGCCGAACAGGGAUGAAUGGAGUUCCAAAGCUUAAUCCCAAAUUCUCCACCAAAAGAGCAGGGACGAGUAAGGUUCCGAUUAUUAAUUUCGAGGUUUCUCAUCACCGAGCAGUUGCAGCGGUGAGGUUGCUAAGAGCUGACAAGGGGAAGGCAUUUGUUGAUCUUUUAAAUGAGAAAGCAAACGACUCUGGGGAAAAUGAGAUGGGCUAUGUAGAAAGGACGUUAGGGUUCAGUACACGGCAUUUGGAUGACAGGGAUAUAAGAUUGAUAUUGCGAAUUGGCUUCUUUGAAAUUCUCAAACUUAAUGUACCAGCUUAUGCUGUCGUUGAUGAGAAUGUAAGGCUCGCGAAAGUAGCUUUAAGGCCCGGUGCUGGGAACAUGGUGAAUGCGAUUCUGCGUAAACUUCUGUUACUGAAGGAGACAGAUUCUCUUCCUCUUCCAAAGAUAGAAGGUGAUGAUCGUGCCCAAGCUCGUGCUCUUUCCAUAAUUUAUUCUCAUCCUGUUUGGAUGGUGAGAAGGUGGAUUCGAUUUCUUGGAAAAGAAGAAGCUCUAAAAUUGAUGAAUUGGAAUAACAGUGACCCUCAUUUCAGUUUAAGGGUGAACACAACAAAUGGCUAUACAAGGGAUGAUCUUGUUAACCGAUUGGAAGAUUUGCAGGUUCACUGCGAAAAGUCAAUUAUGGACGAAUUUGUCCGCAUUUUUGUGAGGGCAUGCAGGCAGUCUUACAAGCUGGAUUACUGA